CAGUUCCUGGCCGCCCUGCCCCGGCCGUGCCCGCACCUUGGAGCGGACGGACGGACGGACGGACGGAUGGCCGGCAUCCCCGACGGAGGGAUGUUUCUGUCUUUGGUUAUCUAGCUGUAUGAGUGUUGUGGAGCCAUCAUAAAGCUAGAUAACCGAAAGUAGAAAUGACUUCCAGACCUGCUCGCCCGGGGGAAGCGGCCGCACCRGGACCGGCAGUGCAGAGACGGCCCGACUCGCCGCCCUGGGGGCUCCAGGGCCAGCAAAACACCGCCAUAACCACAGUAAGGAAAAAGGAUCUCAGCCUGAAUUUGGCUAUACCGGGAGAAAGAAAAGUUCUGAGGAGCUGUUAUUAUAUAUUCUAAUGAGAAGUCAUUGGAGAAAUUAAAAAAGGGCAGAGAAAGACGAAGACGCCAGCACUAAUUCCGCAGGAAGCCUCCCAGGGAAAAGGCUGUGUGAGUGUGAACGCUGAAAAGCAUGAAGGCCUGGAAUUAGACUAUCAUUUAGAAAGCGUUACUAAUCCGAAGUUACAGCAGUAAUUCCAUGAUUUGCUGGGUCCCACACGCAGCGCCAGAAUUAAAGAUACGGAUUUUCUAGAAAUGUAACUCAACUGUGGCACCGAGUCUCGGCAAGAUCCGAAUGAAUCAUUCAUUCCAAAGGCAGCGAAAGACGUGUCAUUAAGAACCAACCUCCUUCUCUCCAGCCCAUCUGGAAUAUGUAUACUCGAUGCAAUCCCAGAAAUUGUGGAAGAGAUCGGAGACRUGACUGAGAGUUCCUGGAGUGGGAUGCCUUGGGAAGGGCUGGGACGUCUCCACCUGAGCAAGGAGAGAUCCCAGUGAGUGGACAAGGGACUUUGGAAGCCCUGGGAGUUCCUUCUUGCAGUUGACUACCGCCUGCUGGAUUUGCCUUCUGACUUCUACGAGUUUCUCCAGGAGGGUCCCAACCUGCUUCUCCAUSGGCCCAGAGAGGAGGCAGCUUUGAUUCACGAACACACCGAGUUUCUGCAUCACUUCGAAACACAGCGGUGCAGCCAUGGGGAGGGARCCAGGGCAACACAGGGAGCCAAGGGACCAUCCCACAUCACUCCUGUACAUUGCCUUCGGUGUCCUCAGUACCCCAGAGCAGGACCAAAGUGCUUAGAGAGACCUGAGCCGGUCACUGUUUCACCUGGUGAAAUACCGGGUGUGUGAAGUUUGGAGGGAGCUUUUAGCCCCYGGCUUUGCUCAUGGAGCAGAGCUCGGCUCUUGCUGCUCUUGGUCCCUGGGUCUGUGGAGCUGUGGGAUGCAGCCUUCUCGAAGGUGCUGUGCUUGGGGCCCAGAGGACCAUCAGCCUGUCCAGCCCUGCUGCUGUUGUACUGCACCCUCUCUGUUCCUGUAAGAGAAAUGUACUGCCUGUAACUCUCCCAUUCAAAUCCACCCCCCCCC